ensembl:lncRNA
CUCGUACACAAAAAAAAUCAAUUAUAAUGUUCCAAAAGUGACAGAUUAUAUAAAAGCAUAUCAAUGUGUGGAAGGGCUGCCGGUAAGGAGCUUAGGCUGCCCUCUGCUGGAAUUGAGAGUGCAUCACAGGACGCCAGGUGAGCUCAAUAAACGUCCCGGUAAUUAAGUGUUACUCCACUUCUGUUUGGGUUUACGGGGAGCAGGUAGGUUUGGAGUGCACGCUGCUGCUGGAGGAACUGAGGUCGGGAUUCCAGCCAAUAUCGGGGUAUCCUUUAGAAAGGAGCAUCGGACAGCUCUGCAGCCCACAGCCUGCCAGGUAGCUCAGGUGAUCGAACAUGGAGCGCUGGUUCUGACGGCUGAUUCGGCAGAAGUAGCACAGAAAGCGACAGCAGUUGGUCACCAUGCGUGGAAACCGGAUCUCCUGGAGGUAGAAUUAUAAACAGCAUUGAUUACA